CGAUUACAAGUACCGUGAGGGAAAGUUGCAAAGCACUUUGAAGAGAGAGUUAAAGAGGACGUGAAACCGAUAGGAUCGAAACGGAUAGAGCUGACGUGUGUAGUAGCUUGCAUUCAGUUGCUUUGCUGCGAUAAAUUGGUUGAUUACUCCGUGCCUGUGGAUAAUUAAUCGGUUUUUUUGCGGUGAAGUGAUGCAUUUGCAGGUGAAGUGCGCUGAGAGCUAUUUUGCAGCGGUACGAUCUUUGCAUUGAGGACCCUUUUCGGAGGGUAUUCCGUGUAGGGGGAAGACUGUUUGUGAAGUAGUAAAAUUGGGCAUAGCCUGUUGAGUCAGUUUGACGUUGAGGGUGUUGAAAGAUGUGUCCGCAUGCGGGUGCGCUUUUGACUAACUUGGCGUUAGGCUUGAUUCUCUUGCUCAACUCGGUGUAAUAGUCGGUCAUCUAUCCGACCCGUCUUGAAACACGGACCAAGAAGUUUACCAAAUAUGCGAGUCAUUGAGUGUUAAAACUCAUAGGCGUAACGAAAGUAAAGGUUCCUUUACUGGACUUAUAUGCGAUCCUUUGCACUUCGGUGCUGAGGCGCAGCAUAGCCCCAUUCUAAUUGCUUGCAAUAGGGUGGAGGUAGAGCAUAUUUGGUGAGACCCGAAAGAUGGUGAACUAUGCCUGAGCAGGACGAAGCCAGAGGAAACUCUGGUGGAAGUCCGAAGCGGUUCUGACGUGCAAAUCGAUCGUCUGACUUGGGUAUAGGGGCGAAAGACUAAUCGAACCAUCUAGUAGCUGGUUCCUUCCG
rnacentral:rRNA from 1 species